UGGGGAAUUUUGGACAAUGGGCGCAAGCCUGAUCCAGCCAUGCCGCGUGCAGGAUGAGGGCCUUCGGGUUGUAAACUGCUUUUGUACGGAACGAAAAGGUUCUUUCCAAUAAAGAGAGCUCAUGACGGUACCGUAAGAAUAAGCACCGGCUAACUACGUGCCAGCAGCCGCGGUAAUACGUAGGGUGCAAGCGUUAAUCGGAAUUACUGGGCGUAAAGCGUGCGCAGGCGGUGAUGUAAGACAGUUGUGAAAUCCCCGGGCUCAACCUGGGAACUGCAUCUGUGACUGCAUCGCUGGAGUGCGGCAGAGGGGGGAUGGAAUUCCGCGUGUAGCAGUGAAAUGCGUAGAUAUGCGGAGGAACACCGAUGGCGAAGGCAAAUCCCCUGGGCCUGCACUGACGCUCAUGCACGAAAGCGUGGGGAGCAAACAGGAUUAGAUACCCUGGUAGUCCACGCCCUAAACGAUGUCAACUGGUUGUUGGGUCUUCACUGACUCAGUAACGAAGCUAACGCGUGAAGUUGACCGCCUGGGGAGUACGGCCGCAAGGUUGAAACUUAAAUGAAUUGACGGGGGUCAUAGCUGUUUCCUG
rnacentral:rRNA from 1 species